rnacentral:tRNA from 1 species
GCUCUACUGGCCUAAUGGAUAAGGCGUCCGCCUCCGGAGCGGGAGAUUCCAGGUUCGAGUCCUGGGUAGAGCG